rnacentral:misc_RNA from 1 species
GAUGAAGAACGUAGCGAAAUGCGAUACGUAAUGUGAAUUGCAGAAUUCAGUGAAUCAUCGAAUCUUUGAACGCAUAUUGCGCUCUCUGGUAUUCCGGAGAGCAUGCUUGUUUGAGUAUCAGUAAACACCUCAACUUCCAUAUCUUUUUUGAAAUGGGAGUUGGACUUGAGUGAUCCCAACGCUUUUCCUCACCGAAAAGUGGCGGGUUACUUGAAAUGCAGGUGCAGCUGGACUUUUCUCUGAGCUAUAAGCAUAUCUAUUUAGUCUGCCUAAAAAACAGAUUAUUACCUUUGCUGCAGCUAACAUAAAGGAGAUUAGUUCUUGUGCUGACUGAUGCAGGAUUCACAAAUACGGCUUCGGCCGACUUUGUAAACUCGAUCUCAAAUCAAGUAAGACUACCCGCUGAACUUAAGCAUAUCAAUAAGCGGAGGA